CGUCUUCCGGCUGCCCUGAACGUCAGGCGACCUCAGGACCCUGUGAUUGGCGCCUGCGCCGGCGGACCGUGACCGAGGAAACCCCUGGAGGGACUUGGGCAUUCCUUGGGCUCCGUGCCUGUUCUUCGUGCUCCUUUCGGGCAAGGAUCUCACAUUAUCAGUCUUUGACUCACACGGAAUGCCUGGCAUUUGAUAAAUGUUUGUUGAACUUGAAGAGACAUAUGGACAAUGAAUCUGCAAAGGGAGAACACCUUUGGUCCUACAGUUUUGCUGACACUGACAUUUUUCUAAGUGGUCACAAAUAGCCUACUUUUUACAUAAAUAACUGGCUAGACCUCGUAUUUUUCACUACAGAAGCCUAUAAUCUAAAGUUGCCAGGAUUUAAACACAUUACUUUUAGGUUAUUGUCUACAUUUAUCCUGAGACCUCUUCUCUUCUUAUUCCAAAAUGUUGAGAUACUGGGGAGAGAUACCAAUAUCAUCAAGCCAGACCAACAGAAGUUCCUUCGAUUUGCUCCCACGGGAGUUCCGUCUGGUGGAAGUCCAUGACCCACCCCUGCACCAACCCUCAGCCAACAAGCCGAAGCCCCCCACUAUGUUGGACAUCCCCUCAGAGCCAUGUAGUCUCACCAUCCAUACGAUUCAGUUGAUUCAGCACAACCGACGUCUUCGCAACCUUAUUGCCACAGCUCAGGCCCAGAAUCAGCAGCAGACAGAAGGUGUAAAAACUGAAGAGAGUGAACCUCUUCCCUCGUGCCCUGGGUCACCUCCUCUCCCUGAUGACCUCCUGCCUUUAGAUUGUAAGAAUCCCAAUGCACCAUUCCAGAUCCGGCACAGUGACCCAGAGAGUGACUUUUAUCGUGGGAAAGGGGAACCUGUGACUGAACUCAGCUGGCACUCCUGUCGGCAGCUCCUCUACCAGGCAGUGGCCACAAUCCUGGCCCACGCGGGCUUUGACUGUGCUAAUGAGAGUGUCCUGGAGACCCUAACUGAUGUGGCACAUGAGUAUUGCCUUAAGUUUACCAAGUUGCUGCGUUUUGCUGUGGACCGGGAGGCCCGGCUGGGACAGACUCCUUUUCCUGAUGUGAUGGAGCAGGUAUUCCAUGAAGUGGGUAUUGGCAGUGUGCUCUCCCUCCAGAAGUUCUGGCAGCACCGCAUCAAGGACUAUCACAGUUACAUGCUACAGAUUAGUAAGCAACUCUCUGAAGAAUAUGAAAGGAUUGUCAAUCCUGAGAAGGCCACAGAGGACGCUAAACCUGUGAAGAUCAAGGAGGAACCUGUGAGCGACAUCACUUUUCCUGUCAGUGAGGAGCUGGAGGCUGACCUUGCUUCUGGAGACCAGUCACUGCCUAUGGGAGUGCUUGGGGCUCAGAGCGAACGCUUCCCAUCUAACCUGGAGGUUGAAGCUUCACCACAGGCUUCAAGUGCAGAGGUAAAUGCUUCUCCUCUUUGGAAUCUGGCCCAUGUGAAAAUGGAGCCUCAAGAAAGUGAAGAAGGCAAUGUCUCUGGGCAUGGUGUGCUGGGCAGCGAUGUCUUCGAGGAGCCUAUGUCAGGCAUGAGUGAAGCUGGGAUUCCUCAGAGCCCUGAUGACUCAGAUAGCAGCUAUGGUUCCCACUCCACUGACAGCCUCAUGGGGUCCUCCCCUGUUUUCAACCAGCGCUGCAAGAAGAGGAUGAGGAAAAUAUAAAAGGAAAAGAGGGAGAUGUUUUGUCCAGACCUACUAGACCCAACAGAAAAGGUUAGCUGACUACAGCAGACCCUUUGCAGCAGUAGUUUUAACAUUGACUUCACAUAUUCAGAAGUGAUUCUAAAGGACUGUGGCACAUAGAAAUGUAUUUUGCUGAGCUGUACAACAGGAUGGCACAAAAUCCUGCUGAUAGAAAUAAGUGUAACCGGCCAGGCACAGUGGCUCAUGCCUGUAAUCCCAGCAUUUUGGGAGGCCCAGGUGGGUAGAUCAUCUGAGGUCGGGAGUUCGAGACCAGCCUGACCAACAUGGAAAAACCCCAUCUCUACUAAAAAUACAAAAUUAGCCGGGUGUGGUGGCACAUGCCUGUAAUCCCAGCUACUCAGGAAGGCUGAGGCAGGAGAAUUGCUUGAACCUGGGAGGUGGAGGUUGUGGUGAGCCGAGACUCCAGCCUGGGCAACAAGAGUGAAACUCCGUCUCAAAAAUAAAUAAAUAAAAGAAAGAAAGAAA